GUGGGGAAUUUUGGACAAUGGGGGCAACCCUGAUGGAGCGACGCCGCGUGGAGGAUAAGGUCUUCGGAUUGUAAACUCCUGUCAUGCGUGAACAAGGUUGCUUGGUUAAUACCUGGGCAAAUUGAUGGUAACGCAAGAGGAAGAGACGGCUAACUCUGUGCCAGCAGCCGCGGUAAUACAGAGGUCUCAAGCGUUGUUCGGAAUCACUGGGCGUAAAGGGUGCGUAGGUGGCGUGGUAAGUCAGAUGUGAAAGCCCGGGGCUCAACCUCGGAACUGCAUCCGAUACUGCCAUGCUAGAGUACUGGAGAGGUGACUAGAAUUCUCGGUGUAGCAGUGAAAUGCGUAGAUAUCGAGAGGAAUACCAAAGGCGUAGGCAGGUCACUGGACAGUUACUGACACUGAGGCACGAAGGCCAGGGGAGCGAACGGGAUUAGAUACCCCAGUAGUCC
rnacentral:rRNA from 1 species